rnacentral:ncRNA from 1 species
UCCUUUGCGAUGACGGGGAAGAGUAAGGCCAAAAGAGCUGUCAGAGAGAAGCCUCCACUGGCUGGAAGAGGCUUUCGGUGAAAUGGCCCCAAGUGCGCCCCGGAGCUUGCCUUUUGAAAUUGGAGUAGGAAGGCACGGCAAUAAAAGCCGUUAUCCUGAUGAGUGGGGCAUUUAUGCCCAAACAGGGUGGAACCGCGGAUUAUGCCGUCUCUGAU